AAAGCUAAGUUUUUGAAUGUCCACUAAUGGUAAAGAACUCGACGGUUAGUAAUUGAUAUUUCAAAUUGAGUUAGGCUACUAUGCUAUCGGAAGCACGGAGCCUUCCGUGCUUCCAGCUCGUUUUUGAUGUUGCGACUUUCGAAUCGUCGAUCGGCUCCGUUAAACUUGAUCUAGAGUAUUUGAAAUACCUAGAAAAUAAAUUUUAUUAUUUUUCGAUAUCAUUUGCCUAGUAAUCGAAUGAGCUUAAAAUCAACAAAUUUCAACGGUCGUAGUGAGCCGUUUGCAAGUUUAACGGUGUAGAAAUAUCCAAAUCACGCGAAAUUUUGAUAGAAAAUUCUUUGUACUAUAUAAAACACGAUCAAUAUCUUUGAUUUAAAAUUUUAAUGUUAUAUUAUUACAUUUUGUAAGAUUUUUAUUUUCAGCCGUUGAUUUUGAGCCCCUUCGUUCACUAGGCAAAUAAUAUCGUAAAAUCAUAAAAUUUAUUUUCUAGGUACUUCAAAUUCUCUAGAUCAAGUUUAACGGAGCUGAUCGACGAUUCGAAAGUCGCAAUAUCGAAAACGAGCUGGAAGCACGGAAGGCUCCGUGCUUCCGAUAGCAUAGUAGCCUCACUCUUUCAAAUUUAAAACUUA
rnacentral:lncRNA from 1 species